rnacentral:rRNA from 1 species
GACGAACGCUGGCGGCGUGCUUAACACAUGCAAGUCGAACGGAAAGGCCCUGCUCUUGUUGGGUGCUCGAGUGGCGAACGGGUGAGUAACACGCGAGUAACCUGCCCCUGACUUUGGGAUAACUUCAGGAAACUGGGGCUAAUACCGGAUAGGAGCUCCUGCUGCAUGGUGGGGGUUGGAAAGUUUCGGCGGUGGGGGAUGGACUCGCGGCUUAUCAGCUUGUUGGUGGGGUAGUGGAUUACCAAGGCUUUGACGGGUAGCCGGCCUGAGAGGGUGACCGGGGACCUGAGGACUGAGAUACGGACCAGACGCCAACGGGAGGCAGCAGUGGAGAAUAUUGCACAAUGGGCGGAAGCCUGAUACAGCAACGCUCGGUGCGGGAUGACGGCCUUCGGGUUGUAAACCGAUUUCGCCUGUGACGAAGCGUGAGUGACGGUAAUGGGUAAAGAAGCACCGGCUAACUACGUG